rnacentral:rRNA from 1 species
GACGUAGGGCGCGAGCGUUGUCCGGAUUUAUUGGGCGUAAAGAGCUCGUAGGCGGCUUGUCGCGUCGUCCGUGAAAACCUGCGGCUCAACUGCAGGCUGGCGGUCGAUACGGGCAGGCUGGAGUUCGGUAGGGGAGACUGGAAUUCCUGGUGGAGUGGUGAAAUGCGUAGAGAUCCGGAGGAACACCGAAGGCGAAGGCAGUGUCCUGGCGAGUGACUGACGCUGAGGCGCGAAAGCUAGGGUAGCAAACGGG